GAAGAAGAAGAAGUAGAGCUGAGCCAAUGACGUCAGCUGUUUUCUAAGCUUACAAGUACGAGCAUCAAAGCAUCAUGAAGAAGAUAAAUCUGCAGAGACAGAGUUUACUGAAGAACAGAGAGAACAUGAGAGAUCUAGAACCCUGCAGAACCAUACACACUGAAGAACUAACAGGUGUGUUUCUGAUUCAGAUGAAGUGAAGUCAGUGUCUGUGAUGGAGGGAGAUUCAGUCUCUCUACAGACUAACACUGAACUACAGACAAAUGAUGAGGUAUUCUGGACAUGUGGACACUCAGAGACUCGUAUAGCUGAAAUUGAUAAAGACACUGGAAGAUUCUCCACAUGUGAUGUUCUUGAUGUGAGAUUCAGAGACAGACUGAAGCUGGAUCAUCAGACUGGAUCUGAUCAUCACAAACACCAGAAACACAGACUCUGGACUUUAUCAAGUGACCAUCAGAGGGAGAAGAUUGGCCACAUACAGAUUCAAUCUUACUGUCUCUGGUGAGUCACAAUUACAUUUGUGUCAGUUUUCAUAAAAAUAUUUUCAUGAACCAAAUCAAAAAGCAAUAAAAAAACAUUUAAAAACAUUUAUUCAGAGACCAUAAA